ACUCCUACGGGAGGCAGCAGUGGGGAAUAUUGCACAAUGGGGGAAACCCUGAUGCAGCCAUGCCGCGUGUGUGAAGAAGGCCUUCGGGUUGUAAAAGCACUUCAGUAGGAGGAAGGUAGUGUAGUUAACACCUGCACUAUUUGACGUUACCUACAGAAGAAGCACCGGCUAACUCCGUGCCAGCAGCCGCGGUAAUACGGAGGGUGCGAGCGUUAAUCGGAAUUACUGGGCGUAAAGCGCAUGCAGGCGGCCUGUUAAGUCAGAUGUGAAAGCCCGGGGCUUAACCUCGGAAUUGCAUUUGAAACUGG
rnacentral:rRNA from 1 species